rnacentral:rRNA from 1 species
AUGGCUGUCGUCAGCUCGUGUCGUGAGAUGUUGGGUUAAGUCCCGCAACGAGCGUAACCCCUGUUGCUAGUUACCAGCGGAUAAUGCCGGGGACUCUAGCGAAACUGCCUGCGCAAGCAGUGAGGAAGGUGGGGAUGACGUCAAGUCAUCAUGGUCCUUACGCCUAGGGCUGCACACGUGCUACAAUGGCCGGUACAACGAGCAGCCACCUCGCGAGAGGGAGCGAAUCUCUGAAAACCGGUCCCAGUUCGGAUUGGAGUCUGCAACUCGACUCCAUGAAGCAGGAAUCGCUAGUAAUCGCGGAUCAGCAAUGCCGCGGUGAAUCCGUUCCCGGGCCUUGUACACACCGCCCGU